UAAAAAAAGUAAUAAAGGCCAAAUAAAGCACCAAGCACGCAGUUGUAGAGCAUUGACGCCCUUGCAAAAAUUAAAUUCCUGAAGAUUUCACCAAAAUCAGUGAAAGAACAUGAAGAAGAUCGAGGGAAACCUUAUUUACGUAAUAUAUUUUUUCUCUGAUGUUAACGAACGAAAAAUAAAGGAGGUGAUGCAAAUUAAAUGAGAUUUUGUGAAACAAUUUUGUCUGAUGCAAAGUUGUUGGUAUAAAGAAACUGAGAAACCUACUGCUGACAAAACCUCAAAAUGUCGAAUUGAUGUCAUGGAUGAGGUGCAAUCGAAUCAAUAAUAAAUACGAUUUCGAUAAGAAGGUCUAAGAAGCUUUCAAAACUUUUUAAAAUUCCUUUAUAAUAAUUUUUCCGUUUUCGGAGUGUAUUAUCCACCCUUUCGAUUUGUCAAUAGUAUUAUUUGUUAAGAAAAUAACAGUUUUUGUGUAUUACCUAGCGGUCAGGUAGAACAAUAAUAUCUUUGAGGAAAAAGCAGGUAAAACGCGUGUAUAUAAGACUAUAAACAUUGUUACACCUGUAAUAUGAUCUUCCUACCUGUUAUGUUGUUGAAUUUUAAUUUUCCAAUUAACAAAACAGAGCAAAAAGAAUCGUGAAACAUACAUUAAAUAUUAAUCAUAAAAUCCAUUUCUUUUUAUUUAAAUACACAUAAACAAACACCAUUAAUCUGGGCCACACAAUGAUACUCCGUUGAAUUCACUAUAAAACAAGGCGUGUUGUUAUUUACAACAGAUGUCGCCAUGAUAAAUCAAUAACGAAAGUACGUGUACUUCCCUUGUUUUGAUUCUACAUCAGUAGCAGGAAUGAAGAUCGACCUAACACUUGACUAGAAUCAUUGGCUUACACACAUUUCCAUUAUAUUUCUUUUCACCAAGACAGCAAUGAGCAAAUCACACUUAAAUCCCUCCAAACAAUGUACAAAUUCUUCCUCUGUUUUGAUCUUCUAAUCGUGUUACGACGUGUCACUUUAAAUGUCCGCAUUAUCGCUGUUUACAGUGAUCACAUGAUACACAAACAGUGUACGUCACGCCGCAUUGCUCCGUCUAAUUAGCAUAUAUAACAUUCUAGAACGUCUGCUACUUUACACCUAGGAGGCGCUGACAACCACGUGAUGAAAGAGUCCCAUAUAUAACUAGGUUCUUCCGUUCAGCGUGCGCGGCUUUGUGUAUAUGUUGUAGCAUGAUAUUGAGUGACACAAUUUUAAACAGUGAACAAGUUUUGGAAAAUAGCGUAGAACAUCAGGUGAGGAUUUACAUAUGAAUAGUUUGCAUAUACAAAAACAAUGAAAAGAGAGAAGUUUCGUCAAUAAUAAGUUAGUCAUUAUUUAUUGAUUUUCAUGCCUGUCGACUCAUCGUUCCGACAUUGUUAAGUCUGAUGAAGACACGAGGCAAAACAUGAAUAAAUAAUAAUUUUAUUUAAAUCUUUGGAAUUAACAAUUACGUAAAACUCUUAUAUGUUAGCCUUUUUCAGACGAAAUUGAUUUAUUGCAUAUAGACAAUAUGCACGCCAUGUCACGUGAUUUGGGAAGACGUUCUCGUAAUCGUUUGACGUCACAUGGCAUGCGGAAAUGUCUGACGUCACAAUUUUACUGUCAAUAUAAUGUGAUGUCAAUAGGUCAAAUUUGAUAGAAUCCAAAAUAAUGAGAUAUACAAUGAUUUAAUUGAUUGUUAUUGCUAAUAUAUAUCCAGUGGGAAAUAUUUCAUUUAACAUUUAGUGAUUUUUUAGGACAUUUUUAUUAAUUAAUACACCUUAUCGCUAUUUGUCCGCCAUUGCUGGAAAUCACACAGGUUCCCGUAAAAUUUUGAAGUCGUAAAACAAAAUAUCUGACGCCACAAUGGAAAAGUGAUUGUUGUUGACGUCAAAGUUCAAGCGGCCGGGUCAGCCGGGAUUAGCGAUAAGGUGUAUUAAUACUAUUGCUAUUUGUCUGCCAUUACUGGACAUCUCAAAAGUUCCGGUACAAUUUUGACGUCAUAAAAGAAAAUAUUUGAUGACACAAUGGAAUAGUGAUUGUUGUAUUAUGUCAAGACAGGACAACUGUCAACGUAUAUUUGUUCCGCCUAACAGAAGUUCCUAUGGAAACUGUUAUAAACAUUGUCAUAAUAUCUAUUCCUGUUGGAACAAAUAUUAUAUACCAUUUAUUCUGUUAGGAACAUAUACUGUAAUUUAUUCCUGUGGAAAUAAUAUUCCGGAAUAUUUUUUCCUUUUGGAAAUUGGAACUAAUCUUAUGAAGGAACUUCUAUUCCGUGACACCACAACCAUAACCGAAACCUAUUGAUAUGAUGGAUGGGUGUUAAACCAUCUUGAUGCUGCAAAUUUAAUAUGGUUGCAUUUUGUUUUCCUGAAAUAAUGCCAAACUAUGACAUCAUUUGACACAUGAUGUCCAAGAAAUCAUUUUUAUUCUUAUCAGACAAAGACCCAAUUUCUUUUGGAUCAAAGCGCUCAAUGCAAAGGGAAAUGUAAGCUGUUCCAGUAAAAGAACACACAUUUGAUAUUGACAAAACAACAAAGAAAAUUAAUUAAGUGGCAAUCUUGAACAACAUACAAUAACAUACUUUGACAGAUUUGGAUGAAUUUAUUGGAAUAUCUUCUAUUAAUUAAAAAAGAUAUGGACAUUAACAUACAAAUUUUCAACCAUCUUUUGUUUAUGUUAACAUGUUUUGACGACUUAUAGAUUCCCAUUCAUGCAUUUUCCUAUAAAAUCCUUACAUUCUUGCGCCAUCGUUCAAUGAUGUCAUUUACACCUUCUGAAAUGAGGUAAAUUGUUCAUUUAAAGCAUAUGAAGUUGAAAUAGGAUUGGAACAACCAAAACAAAUCAUGACAUUGCCUAUCAUCUGACAAAAAAUGUAUAAAUUUAUUCGAAUUUUAUGUGUACUCGAAAGCGUUUGAACAACGUAAUAUUAUUAGACAUUGGAUAAAAUUGGGAAUGGAAAUGGGAAAUGUCACAUUAUGUGUCAAAGAGACAACAACCCGACCAAAGAGCAGAUAACAAACGAAGGCCACCAAUGGGUCUUCAAUGAAGUGAGAAAUUCCUACACCCGGAUGUGUGCUUCAGCUGGCCCCACAACAAAAAUGUAUAUAGUUCAGUAAUAAUGGACGUCAUACUAAACCCCGAAAUAUAAAAAGAAUCUAAAAUUAAAAAUCAUACAAGACUAACAAAGAGGCUCCUGACUUGGGACAGGCGCAAAAAAUCUUUAAAAAAGACUCUUUAAAAUAAAAUAUUCCACUGUUUAAUCUUCAAUGUUUUAUUUGAAAGAAGCACAUGUACAGGUGUAUCAUUGAACAAGUGCUUGCAUAAAUAAAGCAUAUGGACAUAUGUGUCCCUUCGGCUACCAGGUUAAAGUCCAGUUUCAAAUUAAAUGUAUAUUAAUGAGAACAUUACAAUAUAGAUAUAGAUCCUGCUUCGCACUUGACCAACACCCUGAAACGAAAUUUUAACAUGCAUGUUACAGUCUGCACUGUUAGACACUAGUCCGAUGACCCAGACUAGAAAAAUGUUAUCCAGAGAUUCCAGACUAGUAAGAAUUUGCAAAACUUUGUUAAAACCUAUAAUAAAAAGGUCUUAUAAUAUAUUGGUGUUCGGAUAAGUAAUUUGAAAAGAUUUUGGUGCAGACUGAAUUGUAAUAAACAAGGUUACAGAUAAAAGAAAGACAUGUCAACCUACCUUUACACAUUUUCAUUAUUAAGACGCUGAGCUGAAUCUUCUCUUACUCCUCAAUGCCUCAACCUUUCCCACAGGAGAGCACAAGACCAACAAGGCAGGUACAUUAGAGAAAAGAAAAAAAAGCCAAUUGCCAAACUUGUCUGACCGGUUAGAAUUAGUUUAAUGGCGCCAAGCCCUCCCCCUAACCUGCGACAGUGGUUUAACGGAACAACAGAACAAACUAUGCAAAACAAUAGAAUCAUUUAUAAUAAUUAUAUGGAAAAUUGCAUUGUUAGCGCUCCCAUGUGUACAAUUCUUGCCAGAACUUUCUGAAACUUAUAAAAAAAUAUUAUACUAUUAGGUUUAUACAUGUAUCAGCAAUGAUUUGAUACUUUUAAAAAUAAGUUUUGGUCAAACAUUUUUAAUGAGUUAUGUCCCUUGGAAAUAUAAGUUAUAAUGGAAACCAUGAAACUACAGUGCAUUUGCUCUUAAGCCUUCAUUUAAUAAAAAUUCUUAUAGAACAAAAAAAUGCUUCUAAUUGUUUAGUUAUUGCCCUUGUACAUGUACAUAUCUUUGGGUUGAUAAAUAUGUGCAACACAGGGACAUUGGAACUUUGUUCUUUAUUUGAGAUUGGUGAAUGCAGACUUACUUUUGGUUUUAAAUUUUGUUGUGCAAGGGUAAUUUCUGCCCAUAUUUAAUUUAAUGUACGUUUAUUUCAAACAUUUUCCUUCAAUAAAAACCUUGAGGGAUAGAAGCAAUUUCAACCUAGGGGUUGGAAAGUUGUUAUAUUAUCAUUAUUUUAUGCAAUCACCUAAUCUUUCCCCCAGGAGUGAGAAGCAAAGAAAAAUUUUUUAACAGAUUUGAUCAUUUCCAUUAAUAUUUAUAUUAACCCCUGUAUUAGGCUGAAAACAUAUGAUCACAUCGAUCACCAUACUUAAAAGUUGAGAUUUACGUCAAUCCACAAAUUGAAGUGUAUGUUUAGUGUGCAAGUAUGACGACCAUAUCUGUCAAGAAAUUAUUUAUUUAAAAAACACAUAAGUUGGGCAUGAUUAGUCAACUUAUCUCAAUAUCUGUUAAAAAAAAAGACUCUCAAUUACAAAUACACCAUUAUAAACAAAAGAAGAGAAAUCCAAUUCAAAAUAUUGCCUCCUAGACUAGUAAUGUGUCCCAUUGCUAGAUUCAAUAUUAAAUGCAAAAGUUAUCUGACCAUUACCUUUCAGUGCUCAUAAGCACUUUGAUACCAUAAAAAAAGGAAGUUUCUAACAAACUAAAGAAUAAAUUUAAACUUGAACUAGUCUACAGUGUAUUGAGUUUUUAUAACUAUCAUAGGAUUCUUUAAAUCAAUGAAACACUGGUUUACUGUAAAGAAUAAUUUUAAACUUGAAUUAUUAGUUAUCCUAUUUAUCAUAAAAUUCUUGAAUUCAAUGGAAUACUGGUGUUAGAUCACAACUGAUGUUAGAAAGUGCAGAUAAGUAUAUAUUUUAUAAAAAACAAACACAAUGAAAUCAUAAAUAACAUUUAAAACAUUCUUAUGAUAACUAACAUUGGGUUAAAAUAUAAUCCAAUACCAAUGUACAUUUAUACAUGUGUAUAACACCCAUAAUUCUUAUAUUCUCAUAUAGAGCUUCCAACUGUAUUGAAUAAUUAUUUGUAAUGAAAUGAGGUAAUUUGAUGAAUUUAUAUACAUGUACAAGUAUACUGUGUAGUUAAACAUGUUCAGAACCAUUUCUUAUUUACUUCCUGUUUGCUGGAUACAUGGGAACUUUUUAUAUUGAUCAUGGGCAGAUUCAAGCAGGGGCAGGACAGACAUGCAACCCUCUAAAAUUUUAAAGCAUGUGUUCAAGACAAGACAAUAUUUUAUUUAAGUCUCACCUCUUAAUUUCAUAGAACAUACAAAUAGUUAAUAAAAUAUUAUAAAACAUACAAGUGCUGCUCUAAAAAAAGAGUUGUCAGAGACUAUCUAUAUACUUUAGAAGAAUAUUCGAUAAUUUUACUUAAAAAAUAUAUUCUCCUAGCCCUGCUCCCCAUACGCCAUAAUAUAAAUUUAUGGGCCCUAUUAAACAUAAAAUUCUUGCUUCACCCCUGUUGAUGCAUUAUUUAGCAUUUAAAAAAGCUGUAUUGCAUUGUUCCUGUUACUCCAAAUAAUAUCUUCUUGAUAUUUGAUACUAUGCUGAAUAAAUAUCUUAAAUAUUGGUAUAUGCUCAACAAGUUGAUUAUAUGGCCAAUGUUUGAAAUGAUGCUUGUAAAAGAUCAUAGCAUUUAUAAUAUAUAAAUCUUCAUCUUUACGCCCAUGGCUACUGCCUUGAAACCACCUACUUGAAAUUUGGUGCUGGACAUUAAGCAAGCAUUAGUCAAUCACUCAGAUUGAUUGAUUUAUAGUGGUAUUGUGUUUUAUAUCCCUGACAUAAUAUACUUGUAAAGUUGUUAUCUAUUACAGUUACAUCUUUGAUCUUGUGAACUCAAAAUCAAAUAUACCAAAAAAAUGUAUGUGUUUAAAAAUAAAUAAGUGAGAUCCAAAUUUAUGAUGGUCAAGUCUGAUGAAAGUAUUAAACUAUGAACACAUUUAGUAUUUUUAGAUGUCUGCUUCUAGUUCUAAAUAUAAAAAAAGAAAAUGUGGUAUGAUUUCCAAUGAGAAAACUCUCCACAAGAGACCAAAAUGACAUAGAAAUUAACAACUAUAGGUUACAGUACAGCCUUCAACAAUGAGCAAAGCCCAUACCGCAUAGUCAGCUAUAAAGGCCCCUAAAUGACAAUGUAAAACAAUUCAAACGUGAAAACUAACGGCCUUAUUUAUGUACAAAAAAGAAGGUUUCAUUCACUGAAAUGUGGUUUUAGUUUCAGCCAAUUUAAAUCUAAAGUAUGCAUCAGAUAUAAAAAAAAAAGAACAUGUGGUAUGAUUGUCAAUGAGACAACUCACCACAAGAGACCAAAAUGACACAGAAAUUAACAACUAUAGGUCUCUGUACGGCCUUCAACAAUGAGCAAAGCCCAUAAGGCAUAACGCAUAGUCAGCUUUAAAAGGCCCUGAAAUGACAGUAAAGCAAUUCAAAAGAGAAAACUAACGGCCUUAUUUAUGUACAAAAAAGCAAGUUUCAUUCACUGAAAUGUGGUUGUAAUUUCAGCAAAUUUAAAUCUAAAGUAUGCAUCAGAGCCUAUUUUGAUGAUUCAUUAAUACAGUUAUUGAUGUCUCAUUUGAAUUAAAUCAUCAUCAAGUUUAUUCUCCUUAAAUUGAGUCCUAUUUAAAAAUUGUUCAGAUUAAUGAAAGAGUUUUAUACAAUUAAUAAUUUGUUAGCUUGGCAAUUUUAUGUGUUUUAUUUAUCUCCCUUGGGCAUUCUUUAUUUCCAAACAUAAAAGUUGAAAUAUGAUGCUAAAAAUUGAACUAAUGUUUUUCAGUCCUUGUUAAAAACUUUCUUUCCUAUUUCAAAUGCCAUUAGCCUUACCAAAUGGAAAAGUUAAUUAUUAUUAUUUUUUUUUUUGGUGGGGGGGGGGGGGUAUAUUUCAUACCUCAGAUUUUCAGUUGAAAAUACAACACCUUUUAGUCGAUAUUCUAUACAAAGUCUAAAUUACACCUGUAUUACCUAAUCUUUGAUUAGGAUUUCUAAGGCAACUGUGAUAUUGACAAAUGAUUGAAUAGAAUAAAAUUUUAACAAUACAGUUGAUUAUCAAUCUAAUCCUUAUCUCAGAAUUAAGACUAACUUGUUCGAUAAUCUUUUAUUAUGUAAAUGAGAGAUAUGUUUUCUUAAAUGCUAUAAAUAGUCUUUGUUAUAAUUGUUCACAAAGAUAUUAUGUCUGUUAGAUGGAUAGUUGAUGUCUCAUUGGAAAUCACACCUAAUUAGUAAAGUAAUACUUUCUUCUAUUCUUGAAUUUCUCCAGACUGCAUUUCUCCAUAAGAGUGAUAAAAUGUCUGUUUUGAUAUCUAUAUAUAGUAGUCUUAACUAUUUACAUAAAAUAAUCUUAUUUCUCUGACAGGUAUCAUCUGUUUGCUUUAUUCAAAAUUCUGUCAAUUUAUCAGCCUCUAUGGAGCUAUUGAGAUUAUUAUGUACUUGUAUUUAUUCCUUUUCAUGCUGUUGGCCACAUCAUGCACUUAAACAACAGAUGCAGGAAGCAGACUUUAAUUCUUUCAGCAUGCUCAGUAAAUAAUUAAUUGGUGGGAAAUUGAUAAAUAUUGACCUGUCACAUGUAACUGCUAUGCCUUUUAGUUUUAUUAAAAAAAGCCACCUGUUUUAACUGAAAUUAUAUGUAGAAGUUAAUUACAAUAUACAUGUACAUACUGCAUUUGCCAGUCAGAGUCAGUCUAUUUGAGGUUACUAGUACAUUGUGUUAGUGAAUUUCAUUUCCACUUGAAUUAAAUAUAAAGAUCUUUGUGUAAUUUAUUUUUUCAAUUAACAUUCAAUUGAAAAAAAUAUAUAAUAAUAAAUGACUACAAAUAUGAGGUGUAUUCUUAAAUAAUCAUUACUCAUGAUCAUCAACAAUCAUGUGCUAAAAUAUAGACAUGCUAAAAAAUUGGAUACAGCUUUUGACAGCUGUAAAUUUAUCAAUGUUUUUUGACUGUUGAUAUCAAACUUCUUUUAGCAAUGAACUUCUUAUCUAUAAGGAUUCAUUAAGUUCAUUAACUGUACAUUUAUACCAACUUUAUUUUAUGAACUAAGUAACUAUUUCAAUAAAGUAAGUUCAUAAAAGUUAAUUCUGUGAUUACUUAUUUAAUUUUACUAAUCACAGAAACUUGAAAUUUAAUUCUAUAAGGAGAUUGUUUUUCAAGUGUUUAUAAGUUGGGCAUUUUAAAAAGAGAAUGAAUCUCAAUUAAAAGAGAAUGAAUUAGAUUGAUUUAGUUCAAUUUUUCAUUUUUACAACAAAUACAAAACUCAGUUGUAAUAAUUGUGACUGCACAUCAUACAAACCUUCAUCUUAUAUUAUAGGGUUAUUGCAUGAAUAUUGGGGAAUAUUGUCCCGAGUAGAAUUUUAUAUUGCAAGAGCUUGCGAGUGCAAUAUAUGUUCUAUGAGGGACAAUAUUCAUACAAUAACCCUUUUAUUGUAUAGCAAUAUAAUAUUUGAAAGUAAAAAUUGGUUUAAACUAAGAUUUUGUUGUUGAUUACGUCAUGAAUUUUGAAGAUUUAUUGCACUAGUGCAAUAUUGGAAAUUUCUUGCACGCUAACUUUUGGUUACUUUCUGUGGGAAAUAUUAUAUUGCUAUACAAUAAUAUACAAUUACUGUCUUUUGAUGAGGUAAAUGUGUAGUUUUAUUGACUUUUGAAAAACUGAUAUUCACUGAGGCCAACGGCCGAAGUGAAUAUCAGUUUUUCAAAAGUCAAUUAAACCACAUAUUUACCGAAACAAAAGAUAGUAAUUGUUUUAUUCCAUAUUCCGAGAGAAAUGUAUGUAAUGGCAAUUAUUUACCAAAACCAAUUGUACAUCAAUCGUUUUUUUUACCAAAAAAAGUGCAGGUAAAAGCACGCGACGUUAUGCGCGGUGAAUAUCCUUUUCCGCAGGUGAAUGUGCUUAUUUAUUCAAAAUCCCAUUCAUAUAGAAAAACCUACUAAAGUUCUAUCAAUAUGGAAUAAAUAGCGUUAUUAUCUUGAUUUAGUUUGAUUACCUAAACAAUUGCCUCAGCAGAACAGUCAGAUUACUGAAAUGACUUAGAUGACAUGCACGACUGUUGAAAUGGGUUGCAUAUAAAGGCUGAUACAUGUCUGUUUAUGAAUGUACUAAAGUUAAAUAAAGGCAAAUUUCAGAGUAGUUGCAUUUAAUUUUGGAGUAGGGUAGCAGGUAGAAUAUGGCCACAUGACAUAUAUUUUUAGCCUACAUUUCAAUAGUGGUUUUAUAAUCCAUCAAAAUGUAUCUAUUAUAUUCCUGUCUAUGUCAAAUGCAUUGACAAAAACCAUUAACAGAUUUUUAUAUUUUGUUUGAAGUUGAUGUUAAAAAAGUACAAAAAUGAAGUAUAAAGACUUUAAAAACUUUUAGAUUUAUUAUUGUCAUGAUUGUAGGAUAUUCACAAAGUUAACACAAAUAAACAAAAGUUAAACUCAGUUACAAUCAUAUCUCCAUGAAAAUACAAUGUUUGUUAUAUUUUGUGUGUAAUACAGUGUACAAGUAGUUACCAUAUUUGUUUACCCCUUUAAAUAAAGAAUGUAUUAUUAUUAUUAUCAUUAUAAUAUAAUAGUAUGUUAGGAUUUAUAUUUUUGUUAGAAUAACAGAAUAAACUCAUUAUCAUAAUCUGUGUUAAUUUUAUUUAACAGGUUUCCAAUUGAAGAACUGAAUCAAAAAGAAUUUCAACAGAGAAUAUUGGCAGUAAAACAUGUUUCAAG
rnacentral:lncRNA from 1 species